GCUACACGGACCUGCCCGGUACUCGAGAGAAGUAAGCGGGCUUCGUCUUCUGUAUACACUAUAUACAGCUAUCUAUAGAUAGCUGUAUAUAAUGUAUACCGCCCAAAGGGUUAACCUACACUGUCCAGCAGUGUAAGUUCACUCUUCCCUUGCUGGGCUUGCGCAUAGCGCACAGCUCAGCAAGGGGUUAAGUGAGCCAGCAAUGUGUAUACUGUAUACACAUUGCAGGCUCACUGUAAGUUCUUGCUGAGCAGUAGAUAUACCAUGUAUACCUACGGCUCAGCGUCAGCUGUUCUCCCGGCUCUGUAGCCAUGAGAACAGCUGAUCCCGACAUUCACAUCAGGACAUUGCAGAAGGUGUCAGGAGGAGUGACAUCCGCUGGGAUCUGUCCCUUACUGCAGGUACUAAUAGUCCCAACAUGGAGCACACUCUGCUCCAUGCUGGGAGCUGUAGUACCUGCAUUAAUAGACAUAUCGUAGCGAGACAUAUCACAGCUCUGCGGGAAAUAUGAAUAUGUGUAUAUAUACGUGAGUGCAGGGGACCAUAGAAGAGCUGCCGCCCCAUCUAUACAAGAAGAUCGCAAGGGACCCCAGCGAUCUGUCAAUUAGUACAGGUAACUACUACUCCCAACAUGGAAGAGUGUGUUCCAUGCUGGGAGUAGUAGUACUACCUAAAAAAUAUUUUUUUUAAAAGUGAAAAACACGCACACACUACAUUUUCAUUAUUGUCGGCUACAUUUUUAGUGCUUUACCCGCUCACAUAAAUUGAUCCCUGUUUAAAAAUUUAUAAACAUUUCAUAAUAAAAAAAGAUACAUUUCGUUAGAUACAAUUUUUUCCAUCACUACUGUAUCUUUUUUGUUAUGAUUUUUUUAUGGUACCCUACGAAAUUUUAAUAAAAAAGGCAUCUCCAUAAUUUUUUAGGAUCGCUAAAGUCCAAAAAAAGAAUAAAAAGAUUUACCGAAUGUACCCGAAUACCGAAUGUAUCCGAAAAAAAUCAACCCCAAACACCCGAAUACCGAAUGUAUCCGAAAAAAAAUCAGCCCCGAACACCCGAAUACUGAAUGUAUCCGAAGAAUCAAAACCGAAAAUAUUGCCGAAGCGAAAAGUUUUUUCCAAAACGAAAAAACGAAACGAAACAAAACAAAAAAUUUUGUAGUGCACAAGUCUAAUGUGUGGCAGUGACUGGGACACAAUGUCAAUGACAGAAAGAUGCUGAAGAGGAGCUGGCGGAUCCGGAAAGGAGGGCGGCCGGUGAGGCGGUUAAUCGUCGUCGGGAGCCUGGAGCGGAUUUGGCGGGACCUUCAACAGCGCUGGAUGACAGGAGUGCGGCCGGCGGUUCCAGGGAGCGGACGCCCAGGCCAGCGGCUGCUGGGGCAUCGGCUUCGGGUCAGCCUGGUCGUGAUCCGUGCUUGGUGUGGAUUUUUGGUCACUCCUAUGUUUGGAGGGGUGCGAUCCGGGCUGCGGUGAGACGGGACGGGAGGCAGCUGGGUUUUUCGAGGGACCUGGCAGUGUUGCGGUGGAUUGGAAUUGGUGGCAUGCUGUGGUGCGGGGUGCUCCCUGAGGUACAGUUCAACGCUUCUUUGGACCGCCACCCGGACAUCUUGGUAGUGCAUGCUGGGGGCAAUGAUUUAGGCCUUCGAUCGUCACGGGAGUUAAUUAGAGACAUUAAGCUUGACGUUCUGAGGCUAAAAUCUACCUUUCCAGGUUUGUUGUUGGUUUGGUCUGACAUGGUGGCUCGGCGGGUGUGGCGGCACGCCAGGUCGGUGGAUCGCUUGAAUAAGGCUCGGGUCAAGCUCAACAAAGAGGUGGGUCGUUUUGUUCGUAGGAAUGGGGGGAUAGUGGUGAGGCACACUGAUCUGGAGGGGGAGCCUUGGGAAUUCUUGGUUCCCGAUGGUAUUCAUUUAAAUGACAUUGGGAUGGAUUUGUGGGCGUUGGCCUUGCAAGGGGGUAUUGAGCUGGCGUUGCGUGUGUGGCGGGAUGAAGGUCAGUGAGGUGUCACUGUCUUUCAUCUGUGGCAUGUGAAAGGGUCCCGUGGGAGUUAGUAGUUUGAAAGAUAAAUGUUUGAGAUGGUUCAAUUGGGCCUCCUGGUGGUGGUUCUGGGCCUCAGGAGUUCGAGGGAUUGUGCAGAAGGUUACCGGGGUGCCCCCGGGCCAGGGGCUCGCGGCCAGGGGUAAGAAGCGUGUUGCACAAAUCCGGUUGGGGGAGGGGAGUGCCCUCGAGUUUGGUUAUGUUUAUAUGUAAAUAUUCAAAUGUUAUUUAUUGGUUUGUUAAAUAAAUGGGCCACACGGCCCAAUUUUCCCACAGCAGGUGUCAGUGUCUUUUCUAUUGGGAGAAGAGGUUGUUACGUGGUUAAGAGUGGGUUAGAGAGGAAGGGAUGUAUCUAAAAUCCCAUCCAGUCAUGGGAGCAAACGGAGCGGGGGAACCCCUGGCGUAGUGGCGCCUUGACGGGGGUUUUAGUGGCCCUCCCAGAUGUUAGUAAGGGUUAAUGUGGUUAGAGGUAUAUUUCAAGGGAAUGGGGGUUAAAGGGUUAAAUGGCUCCUGCUCCUUUAAGGGACAGUAGCAGGUGGCUCGAGUGUGGGGUGAAAGGGAGGUCAUCUGGAGGGGACGGG